AGCUCCUCCUACUCCCUACGACUCGUGAUGUUAGCCCGAGCUUUUUCCCGCACUUUGCUAGUUUGGUUGCAGGGUUUCCCGGGGGAUCCCCGCUGUUUCCCCGGGCUGGAGAACCACGGGCCGAGUUGGCCCAGGGAAAUUGAGUUGGUCACUUAGACCGCAUCGUUCUCGGGGUAACCCUGCCCGAACCACGUCCUUUCCACGGGGAGAAAACCCACGAGCCCAGAGCUCGGGCGAGCGAACGGCAGAGCCGUCGACCAAGACCCAGCGCCCCCGGCCGCCUCCGAGCUCCUCCGCCGGCGACAGAAGCGACGCCCCUGACCCCCUCUCUCCGGUGCUGACGAACCAAGCUCCGCCCCUCCAGCGACUGCGACGGACCGCGGCCGUCACUGUUCUCCUUCCCCAGAUCUCCCCUCCGCUUCCAAGGUCCGAUCCCCUCCGGCGACGGCGACGACGCCGGUUUCGCGGACGUAUUCAUCUCGUCUGAUCAAGGGUGGAUCAGCAGCAUUUGUCUAUGCUCGAAUAACCCUCUUGAGUUGGUAUGUGUGGCUUUCUUUCUAUUCAGUAGAGAAGGGGUCAGAUGUCAGAUUUAUCUAACCACUAGGACAGAAAAGUUCAUGCUUAUACUGAUGCUUGAAAAUUCAAUACUUAUUUGUGAUGCAGGUUCCCUUACCACAGGUUGACAGAAAUGUUCAAAAAGUUGACGGUGGAAGUAGUUCAGUAUGGAUAUAGUUCACAUAGUUGUGAUAUUUUUAGUGGAACAAAGUAUUGUUUCUUGCUGAACCUGUAACCAUAAUUAGCAUUUUCUCUUUUGAGACAUAGUUAGUAAACUAUAUUUAUCAUUGGUGUUGCACUAUUGGUCCGACUUUGGCAUGUCAGGUUAUAUGCAUGUGUGGAUGCAAGUUGAAUAUUUGUUCUCUUGCGAACUGUGUAUUUAAUAUAUUUUUUCGUUCAAA